AGAAAAUGCUUCAAACAAGUCGCUCGGCAGCCCGGAGCCUGUUAACCCGUGCAUAAUGCCCCGCGUGGAGCAUCCCGGGCAUGUCGCGCGGCCACGCUGAUGCACUGCGGGCGGGCGCCGCGCGGAGCCUCCCCGGCCGCCGCCGCCGCUCCGCUCCGCUCCGCUCGCCUCCCCGCGCCGCUCCGGACCCCGGAUUCCGCUGCUCGCCGCCGGCCGCCGGCCCUCCUCGCCGCCGCCUCCAGGCCCCCUCUCUCGCGGGCGGAAUUCCAAAUGCCGGCGGGCCGCGGCCAGCGCCCGGAGAGGAGGCAGCGCGCGACCGCGGGGAGAGGCGCGGACCCGGAGGCUGGCAGGACGCGGGGGCUCCACGGGCCUUGCCUCUCCAACCCCCCCAACCCCCGCCUCCCGGAAGUAAGGCGAGACCCAGAGGGCGCCCAGGGAGCGGGCCUCCUCCCCUCCCCCCGCCUCCCCUCCCCGGGCUGCUGGGUGGGGGGAGGGGGCAGGGCGGGAGGUGGGAAGGGGGACGGGGACCCCGUGAAAGUUUCUUUUUGGCCAUUUGCGGAGGGAGCUGGGGGGAGGGGGGCUCACGGAAGGUGGAGAACUGGCCCUGGGAGGGAGGACGUGACACCCCUCCCGAUGGAUGGCAGGGAGGCACUUGAUAAACUCCCAGGGUCCAGGUGUGGGGGUGGAGGCAGCAUUCCUUUGCCCGAAUUCUGCUCCCAGGUCACACUCGGCCUGGGGUCUCCAGAGGGGAGAUGCGCAACGUGGGGAAGGUAAGGAGCCAUCUAAAACCACAGUGCGUCUGCCGCUGGCCAGCCUAGCGGUAGGGGAACAUUCCAGGGAGUGAGCAAGGAACCCAUCCUCGGAUGGAAGGGCCAGGCGCCCCUUGGAGACCCAGAGAACGAGCAACAAGUAGACCCCCUCCUCCCCCGAACUGCUGCCCCAAGGGUCUGUAUCUGAAGAAAGACAGCUGGGGUUCCAGGUAGGGCUGGCUGCUUGCAUUUCCUCUGGGCUGUGUGUGUGUGUGUGUGUGUGUGUGUGUGUGUGUGUUGCCCCAGGAUUUGCCAGAUGGAAGCACAGCUGGAGAUAGAGGUGAGAGCAAAGGAUUGGGGUUUCAGCUGCCUACCUCCUUUUCCUGAAAAUCCCCUGGAAGUCCGCUCCUGCUAGCAGGUUGGAAGGAACGGAAAGGUCCAGGGGCCACCCCAGUGCACACAGCCAAGCUGGGACAGAGCCACUGGAAGGCGCCUUGUUCAGCCAACCUGGUGUCCCCAGGGCAGGCCAAGCUUAAGUACUCCUUGGAAGGCAUUUGAGAAGAAAGCAGCCUCAGGAGUGUCCCUCCUGGUAGAAUGUUCUCAACGGGUCAGCUCUGCAGCGGGAUGCAGGAUCCCCACAGAGACGAGAAAACUACAGAAGUCGGUCCAAACAGAGAGGACUUUUGGGAUUCAGCUACCAGUUGAUAUGAGCCUUGGGAUGGAUUUAACUUGCUGGGUGGCCUUUGGAAAACCAGGAGGUCCUCUGUGAUGUGAGAAUUUCCUUACCUCCAAGGCUGCUUCUCGGGGAUGCAAGAAUGGAGACCCUCUUCGGAUCCUGAGAAACCUGUGCCCUGUCCUGAAACCAGCUCCUGAGAAGGUGAGGGACACCUCCUACCCCUCAGCCCUGUCCACUGUUUCCCCCACACGGGAGAAAGGAAGACCUCAGUGGAGCCCGAGCCGGUGGAUUCAACAAGGAACUGUGCACCCAAAAAACCUCGGUUGGGGUUACUGGAUGCAAAAUCCUGAGUCUGGAGGCUGUUGACGAGGUUCUCCCCCUUCUUCAUAGACUACCAAAAAAAGAAAAGCUGGUAGAUGCUGAGGUCACGUGUGAAGCAAGUCCUACUUACCUACCCAGUGUUAUUGGGUUAUUCCAUUUUCACUCCCCCUGCCUGAAUGGACAGCUGACCUUGACAUUUCCCAUACAAGCUUUUCUCUGCUUUCCUAAUCUGAUGGGAUAAUGAUGUCAUAAAGAAAUAACUAAAACAGUAGGUGCUUAAUAAAUGCUUUCUGGUGUGAAAUAAGGAAGACAGUCACGGGACAGCCUCCAAACUCUUCCUUACCCUCCAUCAAUUUUUUGAUAGCCAGGUUUGUAAUAGGAGUACUCUCUCCUUUAGCACUGAAUCAGGGGUUCCUUUCUCUUAUUGUGUUUGCUUUCCAUGAGACACACCUACCCCCAGUCUUUUCGUCACCGAAGGCCUGACCCCGCCGGGUAGGCUGAGCAGAGAUUCCUGGAGCACAUCUGACCUGUCCAGUCCCUCUGCUUAAAGACACAAAUUUCCCUCUCACAUGAAAAAAGCAGGUCUGAUUCAAAUCUACCCAAUGAGUAAAAAAUGGUGCCCAGGACCUGAGGCAUCGGCUCCUGAUUUAAUGUUACGUCAUCUCCCUUCUCCAUAGGGCAUGACAGCUCCCCCCCAGUCCCACCACUCCCCGUCCAUUCUCCGUAUUAAUCGCCUUCUCUCAAUACUCUUUAUUG